CAGCCGCCGCGGUAAAACGUAGGGUGCAAGCGUUAAUCGGAGUUACUGGGCGUAAAGCGUGCGCAGGCGGUGUUGUAAGACUGAUGUGAAAUCCCCGGGCUCAACCUGGGAACUGCAUUGGUGACUGCAACGCUGGAGUGCGGCAGAGGGGGAUGGAAUUCCGCGUGUAGCAGUGAAAUGCGUAGAUAUGCGGAGGAACACCGAUGGCGAAGGCAAUCCCCUGGGCCUGCACUGACGCUCAUGCACGAAAGCGUGGGGGGCAAACAGGAUUAGAUACCCGCGUAGUCCCUGUCUCUUAUAA
rnacentral:rRNA from 1 species